rnacentral:rRNA from 1 species
GUCUAUGGUCAUACCACCCUCAACGCACCCAAUCUUGUCUGAUCUCGGAAAUUAAGUAGGGUCGGGCCUGGUUGGUGCUUGGAUGGGAGAAUGGCUAAAAGUAAAAGGACUACGUGUACU